UCGUAUUGAGUUUGGUUAUCAGUUAUCGCCUCAUUCCUCAACCCUACCAUAGAUCUCUCUGAGCUUUUCUCGAACCAGAAGAUGUCGCACUUCGGGAGAUCCGGACCUCCAGAUAUCAAAGACACCUACUCGCUCCUCGUUCUCAACAUCACUUUCCGAACCAAUGCCGACGAUCUGUUUCCUCUAUUUGACAAGUACGGCAAGGUUGUCGACGUUUUCAUCCCUAGAGAUCGAAGGACUGGUGAAUCGCGAGGAUUUGCUUUUGUUCGAUAUAAGUAUGCAGAUGAGGCUCAGAAAGCAGUUGAGAGGCUUGAUGGUAGAGUUGUUGAUGGAAGAGAAAUUAUGGUUCAGUUUGCCAAGUAUGGACCAAAUGCUGAAAAAAUUCAGAAGGGAAGGGUGGUAGAAUCUGUUUCAAAGUCACGAAGUAGGUCAAGGAGCCGCAGUCCUCGCCCAAGGUACAGGGAUGAAUAUAGAGAUAGGGACUACAGAAGGAGAGGUCGCAGCAGAAGUAGUAGUGGCAGACGUAGAAGCAGAAGUAGUAGUGGCAGGCGUAGAAGCAGAUACAAUAAUGAGAGGCGAAGCAGAAGCCGUUCUCCUGGCAGUGCCUCCCCUGCUCGUGACAGCCGCAGUCCUAAAAGGAACUCAUCCCCCCGGAGGUCUCCUCCUUCUAAGAGUAGAAGUCCUGAUGUUCGCAAAGGAAAAGAACGUUCACUUACUCCUAGUGUUUCACCUCGUCGUAGAAUUUCUGAUUCUAGAAGUCCAUCUCCUCGAUCGGAUUCUGAAGAGUGAAACAACAUCAUGACAUGGAUUUUCCUCUCGUGUUCUCCUCGUAUAUUUCAUUCGAAUGCAUCAACUGUUCUGGAGUCUUGGGGGGUCAAUCUUUGUGAAACUCUUUAUGUUAUCGUCAGCUUAAAUAAUGAAUGACUUGAUGAUUGUCUGGAGCAGAUUUUGAGGAUUGAUUGUUCUAUGUUGUACUUGAUGCAGUUCUAUGGCCUUGCAUAGCAUGUAGCUGCAAGGAUUAUCCUGGCCGAAUGGCUGAUGAUGAUGUUGAUGUAGCAGCAGAUUUUGAUGCUGUUUUUAAGUUUGCGGUUGCUUGAUGUUUAUUGCUGUGUAGAUAAAGUGGUUCAGUUUCUAUUAUUCAGAAUUCUCUCGACGAUAUCAUUUUAUGUAAGCUUUGAUGUGUUGAGAUUGGUGGUGGUUGCAGCCAAAAACUGCCAUAUGAUGAGAUGAUUGCUGAUUAAAUAAGAAAAAUUAAAUGAUGCUAAGCUGAAUAUGGUGCUCCUUUUCCUUUGUCUUUGUUUAUUUUCUUGUUUCCAUAUCUAUUAAUGAUAAGAGUGAAGCUGAUAUGAAUUGAAUAUGGUACAGUUAGGUUAGAGUUGAGAAGUGAUAGGUGAUUUGUUCUUCAUUGAUGAGUUAUUGCGGUUAUCUUGCUCAUAGCUGUUUGACUGAUUGUGGAGGGGAAUCAGCUGGGUCUUGUAGCUGUGACCUUAUAUGGUUUGCUGGUUUUAAGGUAUUUAUUCGAUUCCAUUUCAUGUA